rnacentral:rRNA from 1 species
CGCCCCCUGAAAAACUUAUUAUAGGGGGUCCUGCCUGCCCAGUGACCAAAAAGUUAAACGGCCGCGGUAUCUUGACCGUGCGAAGGUAGCAUAAUCAUUUGUCUUCUAAAUAAAGACUGGUAUGAAUGGCAAGACGGGGCCUUACUGUCUCCUUCCUUUUAAUCUGAAUUUCACAAUCUCGUGAAGAGGCGAGAAUAAAUUCGUUAGACGAGAAGACCCUGUCGAGCUGAAGCAAAGCUCUAACCUAUACUUGUUAUUAAUUUUAACUAAUUAAGAAAAGUAGUAAAAGCUAAUACAUAUAUGGAUUAGAGUAAAGCUUUGAUUGGGGCAAUCCCGGAGGAAGAAAAUCCUCCGUUACUACAUGAUUAAAAGUUAAGUUAAUACAAAAGAAUUACAUUCCUAAAGUCAUUCAAAAUGAAGGAGUGAUCCACUUACAGUGAUCAAAGGAACAAGUUACCGCAGGGAUAACAGCGUUAUCUUUUCUGAGAGUUCACAUUGACGAAAAGGUUUGCGACCUCGAUG